CCUACGGGUGGCAGCAGUGAGGAAUAUUGGUCAAUGGGCGCGAGCCUGAACCAGCCAAGUAGCGUGAAGGAUGACUGCCCUACGGGUUGUAAACUUCUUUUAUAAAGGAAUAAAGUGAGGCACGUGUGCCUCUUUGUAUGUACUUUAUGAAUAAGGAUCGGCUAACUGCGUGCCAGCAGCCGCGGUAAUACUGAGGAUACGCGCGUUAUCCGGAUUUAUUGGGUUUAAAGGGAGCGUAGAUGGGUUGUUAAGUCAGUUGUGAAAGUUUGCGGCUCAACCGUAAAAUUGCAAUUGAUACUGGCAGUCUUGAGUACAGUUGAGGUAGGCGGAAUUCGUGGUGUAGCGGGGAAAUGCUUAGAUAUCACGAAGAACACCGAUUGCGAAGGCAGCUUACUAAACUGCAACUGACAUUGAUGCUCGAAAGUGUGGGGAUCAAACAGGAUUAGAUACCCGUGUAGUC
rnacentral:rRNA from 1 species